GAUGAACGCUGGCGGCGUGCCUAAUACAUGCAAGUCGAACGAGGUCUUCGGACCUAGUGGCGAACGGGUGAGUAACACGUUGGUACCUACCCCGAAGUGGGGAAUAACUGCCCGAAAGGGUGGCUAAUACCGCAUAAUACCGCAAGGUUAAAGCAGUAAUGCGCCUCGGGAGGGGCCUGCGUCCCAUUAGCUAGUUGGUAGGGUAAUGGCCUACCAAGGCGACGAUGGGUAGCUGGAUCGAGAGGUUGACCAGCCACACUGGGACUGAGAUACGGCCCAGACUCCUACGGGAGGCAGCAGUAAGGAAUCUUCCACAAUGGACGAAAGUCUGAUGGAGCAACGCCGCGUGCAGGAUGACGGCCUUCGGGUUGUAAACUGCUUUUAUACGGGAAGAUUAUGACGGUACCGUAUGAAUAAGGACCGGCUAACUACGUGCCAGCAGCCGCAGUAA
rnacentral:rRNA from 1 species